rfam:Phytophthora infestans T30-4 supercont1.52 genomic scaffold, whole genome shotgun sequence.
CCCGCUGAACUUAAGCAUAUUAAUAAGCGGAGGAAAAGAAACUAACAAGGAUUCCCCUAGUAACGGCGAGUGAAGCGGGAAGAGCUCAAGCUUAAAAUCUCCGUGCAAGUUUUGCGCGGCGAAUUGUAGUCUAUAGAGGCGUGAUCAGUGUGGGCGCUUGGGGCAAGUUCCUUGGAAGAGGACAGCAUGGAGGGUGAUACUCCCGUUCAUCCCUGAGUUGCUCGUGCGUACGAUCCGUUUUCUUUGAGUCGCGUUGUUUGGGAAUGCAGCGCAAAGUAGGUGGUAAAUUCCAUCUAAAGCUAAAUAUUGGUGCGAGACCGAUAGCGAACAAGUACCGUGAGGGAAAGAUGAAAAGAACUUUGAAAAGAGAGUUAAAGAGUACCUGAAACUGCUGAAAGGGAACCGAAUCGUUUCCAGUGUCUAUAAUCCGUGGUAUAUUUCAUUGGCGAGUGUGUGCGUGCGUGUGCUGUGGCAGCGGCUUUUUUGGCUGCGCUCGGCGUGUGUGCUGUGUGUGCUUGCUGGUGCCCUGUGCUGCGGUGGGACGUCAAGGUCAGUUCGUAUGCUGCGGGAAAUGGCCGCCGAGGAGGUAGGGCUUACGCUUGCGUUUGUCUGUUAUAUCUUGGUGGACGAGUAGUCGCGGUUGGGACUGAGGUGCCUACAACGUGUUUUUGAGUGGGCCUGUGUCUCUGUGUGCGCCGUGUGCGGAUAGCUUGCUAUGCGUGUGUGGUUGUGUGUGGAUUGAUGUGGGUUUUAACUUGUUGCCGUUCGGGACGUUGACGAAAUGGAGCGAUUUGACCCGUCUUGAAACACGG